GCCGAAACAAUCACCAUACAAACAUCCCAGAUAUAUAAAACAAACCAUUUGACCAACUAAGUAGAGGCGAUCGAACAGUAAUACCACACACUAAGCAGUACCGUAAGGGAAAACUUUUAAAGCAAAAGACAGCAAAGAUAAACCCUUGUACCUUUAGCAUCAUGGUUUAGCAAGUAAAUACAAGGCAAGAAGAAUCAAAGUCUACUAACCCGAAACCAGGUGAGCUACCUUAGAGCAGCCUAAAGGGCAAACCCUUCUCUGUAGCAAAAGAGUGGGAAGACUUAAAGGUAGAGGCGAAACACCUACCGAACCUGGAGAUAGCUGGCUACCUAAAAAGGAAUAUAGUUCCACUUUAGGCCUAAAAAAAUCUAUAUUCGCCUAAAGACAUUCAAUAGGGGUACAGCCCUAUUGAAACAGGAUACAACCUGUAUUUGAGAGUACCUGCUCACUUAACCACUAACCCGUAGGCCUUAAAGCAGCCAACUAACAGAAUAUCGUUAAAGAAUUCAACCCAAAAAAUAUAAAAACAAAAUAAAAACUCCAAACACACUAAAGGUAACCCUAUUCACCCAUAGGGCUUAUUCUGCUAAAACUAUUAAUAAGAUAACAUCUCUAUACGCAUCCUUCCACUAGAAACAGAAAGUCUACUAGCCAUUAACAGACCAAACCAGGAUAAAUAUAAACCCAAUACACACCCACAUAACCCCACUGUAAACCCAACACAGGUGCGUCAAAAAGAAAGAUUAAACACUAAAAAAGGAACUCGGCAACCAAAGACCCCAACUGUUUAACAAAAACAUAACCUUUAGCCACCAAACCAAUAUUAAAGGCAGCGCCUGCCCAGUGAAUAAUUAAACGGCCGCGGUAUCCUAACCGUGCAAAGGUAGCGUAAUCACUUGUCUAUUAAUUGUAGACCUGUAUGAAAGGCACCAUGAGGGUCUAACUGUCUCUUUUAGUAAAUCAAUUAAACUGAUCUCCCAGUCCAAAAGCUGGUAUAACACCAUAAGACCAGAAGACCCUGUGAAGCUUUAACUAAACUAUUAAACCCUAUAAUAACUCCUUUAGGUUGGGGCGACCUUGGAAAAAAAAAGAACUUCCAAAUAACUUUAUACAUACUAUUAAACCCACGGCCAACAAGCCUAUUAGUGACCCAGCACAGCUGAUAAUUGAACCAAGUUACUCCAGGGAUAACAGCGCUAUCUUCUUCAAGAGCCCAUAUCAAAAAGAAGGUUUACGACCUCGAUGUUGGAUCAGGACACCCCAAUGGUGUAGCCGCUAUUAAAGGUUCGUUUGUUCAACGAUUAAAUUUAGUCCUACGUGAUCUGAGUUCAGACCGGAGUAAUCCAGGUCGGUUUCUAUCUAUGUCCUAGCUAUCUUUAGUACGAAAGGAAUAAUAUAGCGGGGCCCAUACUACAAGCAAGCCCCUUUUAAACCAAACACACCCGUUACCCACCAGACCAAGAAAAGGUCAGUUCAGGUAUAUUACCUCAACAU
rnacentral:rRNA from 1 species